ACCAAAGAGCUAGAUGGUCACAUGCAUUAACACUUAAAGAUGUGCAGUUAGUUUAAGGUUAAGGUAAAGUUUCGCUUUACUUUACUACAGAGCAGCUUCACAUCAGCUUCAUCUGACAUUUUAUUACUGAAGCAGUUUUGAAAAGUUUGUCUUUUCAUAUUUGUGGACUGAAACUGUUGAAGAUGUUUUGGACUGUUUUUUUCUGUUUGUGUUUGUGGCGUCUGGAUGAUGCGUUUGGUGAUGAAUUAAGGUCAGUGAUUGAGGGAUUUUCAGUCACUUUAAACUCUGGUCUUACUGAAAUUAAGGAUGAUGAUGUAAUUCAGUGGAUGUUGGUAAAUGAAAACACUGUAAUAGCUGAAAUCAACAAACAGGCUGACAGAAUCACUGUAUAUGAUGAUGUUCUUGAUGGGAGAUUCAGAGACAGACUGAAGCUAAACAAACAAACUGGAUCUCUGACCAUCACAAACACCACAAUGAAACAUGCUGAACAUUAUGAACUACAGAUCAACAGUAGGAGACAGUAUUUCUUUCUUACUGUUUGUGUUGAAAUAUCAGUGAAGGAGGGAGAUUCAGUCACGCUAAACUCUCGUCUUACUGAAAUGAAGGAUGAUGAUGUGAUUCAAUGGAAGUUUGGAAAUUAUAAAAACAGUUUAAUAGCUGAAAUCAAUAAAUGGGCCAACAACAUCACUGUAUAUGAUGAUGUUCUUGAUGGGAGAUUCAGAGACAGACUGAAGCUGGACAAACAAACUGGAUCUCUGACCAUCACAAACAUCACAGCUGAACAUACUGGACGUUAUACAAUAUAUAAGAAGUAUAUGGGCAUGACUUUCAUUCUUGCUCUCUAUGAUGAAAUAUCAGUGAAGGAGGGAGAUUCAGUCACUCUAAACUCUGCUCUUACUGAAAUGAAGUUGGAUCGGAUUCUCUGGACGUUUGGACCUGAAAUCACUAAAAUAGCUGAAAUCAACAAACAGGCUGACAGAAUCACUGUAUAUGAUGAUGUUCUUGAUGGGAGAUUCAUAGACAGACUGAAGCUGGACAAUCAAACUGGAUCUCUGACCAUCACAAACAUCACAGCUGAACAUACUGGAUAUUAUCUACUACACAUAACUGGAGCAAAAGAAUCGUUAAAAGCGAUCAGAGUUUCUAUCUAUGACUCUGUCCACUGUUGUUGUUCUACUGCAAGCUGUGAUCCGAUUGGUCCUCUCUGCUCUGGUGGGCGUGGCUACUGUCAUUAUUCUGGUUUAUGACAUCAGAUCCAGAAGAGCUGAACAAGAUCGAGCACAUAUUCACACAUCAGGAAGUAUUGAAAUCUAAAGCAGAACGCUUUAAGUCUGUUAAAGUUCUUCAAGGUGCCGUAGAACGACUUUUCAAAAGAUGUAAUAUAAGUCUAAGGUGUCCCCUGAAUGUGUCUGUGAAGUUUCAGCUCAAAAUACCCCAUAGAUUUUUUUUUAAUAAUUAAUUUUUUUUAACUGC